GUCCUGGUAGCUCAGAUGGUAAGAGCACCCGACGGUAAAUUGGGAGGUCCCGGGUUCGAUUCCCGGCUAGGAAG